rnacentral:pre_miRNA from 1 species
AUGGACUCGUGGAGGGGGUUCUUCUAGGACAGUACACUCUUUGCUAUUUUGUACCUGGAAGAAUGUGCAGAACAAAAAAAAAAAAUGUUAUUGCG